rnacentral:lncRNA from 10 species
AGAGAGCGAGAGAGAGCGAGAGAGCGAGAGAGAGAGAGAGCGAGAGAGCGAGAGCAGCCUUUCCGCCAGCCCCACGAUGGCAGUUAGUGAACUAUGAGAAGAGGAUCCUUUUCCUGCCCAUGCAGCCCUCUUGGGCCUUCGCCGACCCUGCGUGCAUGGCAGGCUGGAAGCUGGUCAGGGCAGGAAGCCCCGCUCCCCCAGCCAGCACAGCACCCGUCACUGUAAACCUUCGAGGAGAAGCACAGCCUUGGAUUCAGGCCUCUGGGUUCCAACAGCCCUGGCUGGGGUCCUGGGUCAGUCACUUCACAGCUCAGCUCAGGGGCCAGAAGAACAUGCAUGAAGAAAAAGCUCAGGGAACCGGUAAGUACUCCAUGGGCUCCCUGCGUCACCAGCACCUCUGCAUUUGCGGGGGCCACGGACUGAGUUUCCACUUCAGCUGAGGUAAAGACAAAGACAGAAUCCUGUGCCACAACUCGGAAAACUGUCCACACUUACGCAAAGCUCACUGCACCUUGUUUCAACGUGGCCUCAGGUUUGGUCCAGCUAAGUGUGUGAAGCAUGAAUUCAAACAUUUCUUGACGCUGCAUCUUGAGGCCUGCAGUGAGGCAGCCAGCAGAGCCCCAGGUCCUGGCCCUUAGACACGGCAUCGCAGGGCCUGACUCUAAGGCAGAACGAGUUAGGAGCGAGCUGAAGCCCUCGUGCAACUAAGCUACGUCUCAGCGGAGCGGCAUUCCCCGGGGGCGCUUAAGCCGGUCACUUCUGGCCAAGGCAUGGCCAGCAGCUAUGAGCACACAGCCUUGAUAAGGGUUCAGCCACUUUGCCCACAACUGCCUGUGUAUAAAAAAUAGAUGUGGUCUUUGCCCCCACUUCCUGGCACAGAGCUUCAGUCCCUGCUGGGAUUUCUAGAGCCUGGGACUGUUUUUGUGAUGCUAAUGAAUCCUGGACAGGAGGGAUGGACAGCUUCAGGGUGAGGCUGCUCUGCAGAAAGCCACCCGCAGGCCUAGAGGGCUGCAGCGUUCAGCCUCCUGACCCAGGGAAGGAAGGGGUGCUGGGGACUGAGUUGCAUCAUGUGACCAUGACUUAGCUGUGUCUAUGUAAUGGAACCCCUAUAAAACUCUGGACAACGAGGCUGGGGGCGCUUCCUGGCUGGUGAAGGUGUAGAUGCACCAGGCGGGCAGUACCCACCAGGCAGGCAGCACCCACCUCUGCAGCACAGAGCCUCUAGACCUUCCCUGGGCACCUCCUCUGUGCCCUUUGUAAUAAAGUGGUCAUUGUCGUGUGGUACUUUCCUGAGUCUCCUGAGUCAUUCUAGUGAAUUAUCAAAGUGGAGGUGGGGGUUAGGGACCCUCCAAUUUGUAACCAAGUCAGACAGAAGUGUGGGAAGC